rnacentral:rRNA from 1 species
UGGGGAAUAUUGCACAAUGGGCGCAAGCCUGAUGCAGCCAUGCCGCGUGUGUGAAGAAGGCCUUCGGGUUGUAAAGCACUUUCAGCGAGGAGGAAGGUGGUGAGCUUAAUACGCUCAUCAAUUGACGUUACUCGCAGAAGAAGCACCGGCUAACUCCGUGCCAGCAGCCGCGGUAAUACGGAGGGUGCAAGCGUUAAUCGGAAUUACUGGGCGUAAAGCGCACGCAGGCGGUUUGUUAAGUCAGAUGUGAAAUCCCCGGGCUCAACCUGGGAACUGCAUUUGAAACUGGCAAGCUAGAGUCUCGUAGAGGGGGGUAGAAUUCCAGGUGUAGCGGUGAAAUGCGUAGAGAUCUGGAGGAAUACCGGUGGCGAAGGCGGCCCCCUGGACGAAGACUGACGCUCAGGUGCGAAAGCGUGGGGCAGCAAACAGGAUUAGAUACCCUGGUAGUCCACGCUGUAAACGAUGUCGAUUUUGGAGGUUGUGCCCUUGAGGCGUGGCUUCCGGAGCUAACGCGUUAAAUCGACCGCCUGGGGAGUACGGCCGCAAGGUUAAAACUCAAAUGAAUUG